AUUGAACGCUGGCGGCAGGCCUAACACAUGCAAGUCGAACGAGUGGCGGACGGGUGAGUAAUGUAUGGGAAACUGCCCGAUGGAGGGGGAUAACUACUGGAAACGGUAGCUAAUACCGCAUACCAUCGGAUGUGCCCAUAGGGGAUUAGCUAGUAGGUGGGGUAAAGGCUCACCUGGGCGACGAUCCCUAGCUGGUCUGAGAGGAUGAUCAGCCACACGGGAACUGAGACACGGUCCAGACUCCGACGGGAGGCAGCAGUGGGGAAUAUUGCGCAAUGGGCGCAAGCCUGAUGCAGCCAUGCCGCGUGAAUGAAGAAGGCCUUCGGGUUGUAAAGUACUUUCGGUGGGGAGGCGUUAAUCGCAGAAGAAGCACCGGCUAACUCCGUGCCAGCAGCCGCGGUAAUAC
rnacentral:rRNA from 1 species